UGUGUGUGUCUGUGUGUGUGUGUGUGUGUGUGUGUGUGGUGUGUACACACAUCUACACACACACAAACACACACACA
rnacentral:miRNA from 1 species